UACGGAGGGUGCAAGCGUUAAUCGGAAUUACUGGGCGUAAAGGGUGUGUAGGCGGUUCUUUUAAGUUUGGUGUGAAAUCUCCCGGCUCAACCGGGAGGGUGCGCCGAAAACUGAAGGGCUAGAGUGCGGGAGAGGAGAGUGGAAUUCCUGGUGUAGCGGUGAAAUGCGUAGAUAUCAGGAGGAACACCGGUGGUGUAAACGGCUCUCUGGACCGUAACUGACGCUGAGACACGAAAGCGUGGGUAGCAAACAGG
rnacentral:rRNA from 1 species